CGCUGGCUUUACGACCCGUACGACUCGACGCGACGUCCUGAAUCAUUCCGUCUACUUUCAUUCAAACGCACAAACCUAUUCGCUCUCUAUCGGAGCCUAUAAUCUUCGAUUAUCUUGAACCACGAAAGAAAGAAAGUUGACAUUUACGACGCAUCCUUGCUCCUCUCUCUCUCUCUCUCUCUCUUUUAUUCUCUCUCUCUCUUUCUUUUAUUCAUUUUAAUAUUUUAGAGAGUGAAUAAAAUAGGCAGAGAGAAAAAGAGAGAGAGAGAGAGAGAGAGAGAGAGAGAGAGAGAGAGAGAUAGAGCAAUACAAUAGAGAAAAUGAUCGAGUAAAGUCACUAAUAAUUGUUAAUAAAUAUUUUAUUACAUCCUAUUUAUUUAUUUAGUUUUCUUAUUGUUAUAGAAACAUGUUUAUGACAGUGUGAUAUUUAUUAAUGUAUGUGCAUGCGUAUGUAUAUGUGUGUGUGUGUGUGUGUGUGUGUGUGUGUGUGAAAAUUUACACUAUAUUUUGUUCCAUUAAACCAAGAAAGGUUUAAACAGAAAGAAAAAGGUUGGAAAGAUUGAAAGGAUUAAAAUCUUAUAAGAAAAGGAAGAAAGAAAAAAGAAAAAAAGAAAAGAAAAGAAAAAAAAUGAAAAAAAAUUAAUAAUCGAAACCAUAUGAAAAUUUAUUUUUCUUUUACGACGUAUGAGAGUAACGUUUUCCCUCACCCUUCUCUGUCAUUCCAAGAAGAAGAAGAAGAAGAAGAAGAAGAAGAAGAAGAAGAAGAAGAAGAAGAAGGAGAAGAAAAAGAAAAAGAAAAAGAAUAAGAAGUAUCUGUGAGUAAGUAAAAAAGUCGAGUCGAUUAUGCAGUUGUCUCUUGGGAUACGUGUCAAAGAGAGUAGAAGCGAGAGAGAAAGAGAGAUAAAGAGAGAGAGGGAUAUAUAUAUAUAUAGAGAGAGAGAGAGAGAUAGAUAGAUAGAUAGAUAGAUAGAUAGGUAGAGAGAGAGAGAGAGAAAGAGAAAGAGAGAGAGAGAUAAGACGAGAGUCAGUAGGCGCGAGCUCAGUUGCUCGCUCGCGCGCAAGGCAGAAGUAUCCGAGACAAAUCGCUACAAGGAUACAUAACUUUCCCGUCGGAAGGGGUUUCUUUGCGGUUUAUGUGCAAGAGAGGAAGAAAGAGGGACGAGGCAGGAGGAAGAGGAGGAGGAGGAGGAGAAGGAGGAGGAUAUGGAGGAAGAGAAGAUGGAGGAGGAAGAGGAUGAAGAGUAGAAGGGUGGGAGAAGAAAGAAAGCAAGAGAGAAGGAAUGUCAUGCAAUGUGUCCGGCCAAACCGAACACCAUAGACUUAACGCGCCAAGGCAACCAAGCAAGCAACCCCCUUCCUUUCUCGAAGAAAACGCCAGUCCGUUUACCAACGACUACUAAACAAGUACGCAAGUAGCAAGGAGCAGCGACGUCGAAGGAGGAGGUUUACCGCGAAGCUUAUAUUGCGAGGGACUUGUGUCGGAGUACCAACUUUGGGCCUGGCGUUAGUUCGAGUGUGCGAUUCCACGCAGUUCGCCAAGAACCCAUAUAUAUGUGUGUGUGUAUUUUCGUACAUACAUACGUAUAUACGUGUAUAUGAGCAUACCAAAGAGAGACGAAGAAGAAGAGAAAGAAAAAAAGAAAGAGAGAGAGAGAGAGGGAGAGAGAAAGAGAGAAGGAAGAACAUAGGUGAGUAAAGAAGAGGAAGAGAGGGUCCUCGGCACAGGAGGGGGGCCCAAAUAAUAUUUCAAAAUUAAUGUCAUGCGGGGCCUUCCAAAGGGGUCCGGUGGGUUCCGCACCACCUUCCUGCAUAAGAUAAGGCCCUCUUGGCCACCGCUCGUGAGACAAGGACCAACCAACCGACCGACCGACCGACCGACCGACCGGCCGGCCGGCCGGCAGGACGGCCGACCGAGGGAACGCGAGCUUCGAGAACCCGAGGAAGGCGAGCGUGUGAGAGAGAGAGAGUGAGAGAGAGAGAGUGAGAGAGAGAAAAAGAGAAAAAGAGAAAAAGAGAAAGAGAGAGAAGCAUGGAAUGUGUGGGUCUAGAGAGAACACACAUAGUCAGCUUGUGGAUGGGUCGAUAAGAAAGAAAGAAAGAGAGAGAGAGAGAGAGAGAGAGAGAGAGAGAGAGAGAGAGAGAAAGAAAGAUGGAAGAAACGAGUGCCUGAGGGAUAAAGUGGAAGAAGAGAAGCCGGAGUCGUCUCGUGAGAGGAAAGGAUCAGGGAGAAUAGCGUGCAUUGAAAAGAGAGAGAGAGAGAGGGGGGGAGAUACUAAGCCGACGACCGAGGAGUAAGCGAGCGAGAGAGAGAAAGAGAGAGAGAAAGAGAAGGAGAAAGAAUGAAGAAGAGGAGAAGAAGGUAGGAAGGGAGAAGAAGGACGUACUUGCGUGUGUGCACGCGUGACUAACGGUGCGAGGGAGAUGGAAAGAGUAAAGAGUAAAAGAGAGAGAAAGAGAGAGAGAGAGAAGGAAACGAUGACGCCGAUGGUGGUGAACCUUAGGAAAAGGAUAGAAAGAGAAGGAGAAACAGAGAGAAAGAAAGAGAGAACGAGAAGAAGAAAGAAAGAGGAGACCGAACGAAGGAGACAAACGCACAUCUCGCUCUCUUCGAGCCCUCGAGAAAGGAUCUAGACUCUCUAGGGCCAAACCAUCUCUCCUUUACCCUCACUCCAUCUCUCUCUCUCUCUCUCUUUCUCUCUGUCGCACUUGACGCGUUCCUCUUUCUAUCUCCUCUCCCUUUCUAUCCGUCUGCAUUCCUCGCACAGGCGCAUAGAACCGAGCGUGCAUUUCUUUCUUUCCCCUCUCUUCUCUUUCCUCGUCAUUCCCCACCCCGCGACCCUCUCCUCUUCCUCCCCUUCCUUUUCCUCUUCCUCACCUCUCGUUCUCUCCCUCCCUCUCUCUCUUUCUUUCUCUCUCGACUCCUCUUUACUCCUUCUCCUUCAACUCAUCCUCUCCCUCCAACACUAAUUCACGUUGACAUCUCAGCUCUGCGGAUACACCGACGGACGGAUGACUGUUGGCGUUGGGAGGGUCAGGAUGACGAGGACGAAAGGGGCAAACAAGGUGGAUACCAACCGAACGAGAUCGUAUAGGAACUAUCUUUCUCCUUAGAAAAUUGGCGAAUCUUUGUUAUGCUUGAUUUUUAAUCAAUGUACGACAUAAUACAAUGUUUUGUUAAGUACGUUCAA